AUCGAAAACCUGUUUUAUGAAUAUAUAUUUUUUACAUUUUUAAAUCUUGUUUUUAUAGCAUUUAGAUUCUGAUGAGCAUUCGUGCAUCUACUACAGUAGCUUUAUCUUUCGCUCUUCAAAUCGCUACAAAUUGAAAGCACCAUUCAUAACAUUAUAUCCACAGUUAGUAUUUUUACAGUGUAUUUAACUAAGAAGAAAAAAGUAAAUGAUUUUAGUGAAUUCGACACGUCAAAGGUUUGGCGAUGAUUCGACCAAGUUUUGCAUUUUGGUACUGUGUGUUUCUACUUGUCAUUACAUCUUCGGGAAAGAACGAAGAGUAUUGGAAAAAUUUCACGAAUGGCGAUGAACAAAGUGACAAUUCAACGAUGCCAUUCGAGCUUAACGAAAAUUCUAUGAAAAAUCAAGAUAAUGAGAUAGAAUUAAUGCAUCAUAAUUCGCACGAAAAUUCUGUGAAAAAUAAAAGUGAAACAAACUUUAUGUUGCAUGAACUUAAUGAACAUUCCAAUAAGGAUGACGAUGAUAAUAUCAUUCCGUAUAAAAUGUGUAACAAUACUUGCUUACAAUAUUGCUGCAGUAUGCUAAUAAACAAUUGCUAUGAAGUGAAGAGGCAAGAUUUUAUUAAAAACAAUCCUAAUUAUACGAUAGAAGCCAUAAUUGCUUAUUCAUGCAAAGAAAACGAGAUUCCGUUUGAUAUUAUGGAUAAUGAGAAUACAAUGUUUUUUGACAACAGCUUUCUGAAAUUAUCACGUCAUGAUAGACUAAUUUCGUUGUUAUCUAAGUGCACCGAUAUUUUAUCUAAUUCUGCUGACUCAACGAUCUGCGACGCCAUUUUGAACCAAAUGGUUUCGAUAUAUUUGGAUAUUAAGACUGCAGUUGUCAUAGCAUCUUUGCUGUGUCUUCUGAUGACAUUCAUCGUGUAUUCCAUAUGUCCAGAACUUCAAAAUAUGCACGGAUAUACUUUGCGUUCAUAUGUCGCGUCAUUGUUCGUCGUAUUCACGAUCAUGCUAAUCGUCCAUAAGAAAGAGACGUUUGAAGAGAUGUAUCCUGUCUGCGUUGCAGCAAGUUUACUAUUCUAUUUCUGUUUUUUUGCGAGCCUCUUCUGGCAAAAUGCGAUAUGCUUCGAUAUUUUACGGACAUUUGGAGGAGUUCGUUUUUUACACAAAAGCGUGAAGCAAUCAAAGAGAAAAAUUUUCCUCGCGUAUUCGUUCUGUGUAUGGGGAAUCGCCAGCAUUUACGUCAUCAUUUGUGCUAUAAUGAAUUUUGUUCCGACUGUGCCUGAUAAUAUCCAACCAAAUAUCUGCAUCACUACAUUCGGAUUCGCGCAACAUGCAGAUUUUGCAUAUUUUGAAAUACCCAUAAGUGUUCUUAUUAUCUGCAACAUAUGUUUCUUGAUUUUUACGAUGUUAAACAUCGUACGCGCAACAAAAAUUAUCGAUAGCUUUCUAAAAGACGCGGAGAACAAGCACCAAACUAAACAAAGAUCUAUGAUGUAUUUGAAGUUAUUGCUCUUUGCGGAUAUAAACUUGGGCCUACUAAGAAUAUUUAGAUGGACUAGCGAUAUGAUAAUAGCAAUGUUUGAUGUUGUGGAAUUUGUGCCAAAUUUCAUUCUGCUUAUCAUAGACAUAAUAGAAUUCCUGCAGGGCUUCGUCAUUUUCAUCAUAUUCGUUUGCAAGAAAAGAAUUUGGCAAUUACUGCUGAAACGAUUCGGUUGUGAAAAGUUAUUUGUAAAACGGAAAAGCGUCAGCAAGUAACAAUUGCCGUAUCGCGACUUUGCAUACUUCUUCUACAACAGUGACAGAGAUGUCCACGCACGAAGACAACAUGCAGGCUAAUUUGAAUUCGACGCGUCAAAGGUUUAGCGAUGCAUCGACCAAGUUUUGCAUUUUGGUACUGCGUGUUUCUGCCUGUCAUUCUAUCCUCGGAAAAGAACGAAGAGUAUUGGGAAAAUUACACGAAUGGUGAUGAACGGAGUGACAAUUCAACGAUGCCAUUCGAGCUUAACGCAAAUUCUAUGAAAAAUCAAGACAAUGAGACAAAGUUAAUCCAUUAUAAUUCGCACGAAAAUUCUGUGAAAAAUAAAAGUGAGACAAACUUUACGUUGCAUGGACUUAAUGAACAUUCCAUUGAGGAAGACGAUGAUAAUAUCGUUCUGUAUAAAAUGUGUAAUAAUACUUGCAUACAGCAUUGCUGUAAUUUGAUAUUUGACAAUUGCUUUGCAAAGAAGUUACGAGAAUUUGAGAACAACAAUUCUAAUUUUACGGAGGAAGCCGCAAUUGCUUAUAUAUGCGAAGAAACCAAGAUUCCGUUUGAUAUUAUGGAUAAUGAGAAUACGAUGUUUCCUGACAACAGCUCUCUAAACUUAUCACGUCACGAUAGAUUAAUUUCGUUAAUAAUUAAGUGCUCCAAUAUUUUAGAGUACUUUAACUCAACUACUACCUGCUACGCCAUUUUCGAUCAAAAGAUAUCGAUAUAUUUCGACAUUAAGACUGCAGUUAUCAUAGCAUCUUUGCUGUGUCUUCUGAUGACAUUCAUCGUGUAUUCCAUAUGUCCAGAACUUCAAAAUAUGCACGGAUAUACUUUGCGUUCAUAUGUCGCGUCAUUGUUCGUCGUAUUCACGACCAUGCUAAUCGUCCAUAAGAAAGAGACGUUUGAAGAGAUGUAUCCUGUCUGCGUUGCAGCAAGUUUACUAUUCUAUUUCUGUUAUUUUGCGAGCCUCUUGUGGCAAAAUGCGAUAUGCUUCGAUAUUUUACGGACAUUUGGAAAUGUUCGUUUUUUACGUAAAAGCGUAAAGCAAUCAAAGAGAAAAAUUUUCCUCAUGUACUCAUUGUAUGCAUGGGGAAUCGGCAGUAUUUACGUCAUCAUUUGUGCUAUAAUAAAUUUUGUUUCGACAGUGCCUUAUAAUAUCCAACUCAAUAUCUGUAUGAAUACGGCAUUCGGAUUCGCGAAUCAUGCAAAUUUUGCACAUUUUAUAAUACCCACAAGUGUUCUUAUUGUCUGCAACAUAUGUUUUUUGAUUUUUACAAUGUUAAACAUCGUACGCGCAACAAAAAUUAUCGACAGCUUUCUAAAAGACGCGGAGAACAAGCACCAAACUAAGCAAAGAUCUAUGACGUAUCUGAAGCUGUUGCUCUUUGCGGAUAUAAACUUGGGCCUAAUAAGAAUAUUUAGAUGGACUAGCGAUAUAAUGAUUGAAAUCUUUGGCAUUGUAGAAUUUGUGCCACUUUAUGUUCUGCUUAUCACAAGCACAAUAGAAUUCCUGCAAGGCUUCGUCAUUUUCAUCAUAUUCGUUUGCAAGAAAAGAAUUUGGCAAUUACUGCUGAAACGAUUCGGUUGUAAAAAGUUAUUUGUAAAACGGGAAAACGUCUGCAAGUAACAAUUGCCAUACCGCAACUUUGCAUACUUUUUCUACAACAGUGACAGAGAUCCACGCAAGUAGUCAAAAUGCAGGCUAAUUACCACGUGGGGAAUUUGUCUGAAAUAGUCGGUACUACAAUUAAAAACGUUGCAAAAAAAUAUAUAUUUUUCAUUAUUUUUUAAUAUUUCUUAAAUUAUUUUUAAGGAUUUUAAAUACUAGACAUUAUUUGUAACUUUUAUCAUAAUUCUUCAUAAAACUAAGUAAUAAAAUUCCAAGAUACGGAUGAUCAAUGCAAAUCAAUUUGUGUGAAAUAUUUCAUUGUUGAUUUUUCCAUAUACAUAAUAAUAACAUGAUAACAUGAUA